UCUCCGUAGGUGAACCUGCGGAGGGAUCAUUACAAGUGACCCCGGUCUUACCACCGGGACGUUCAUAACCCUUUGUUGUCCGACUCUGUUGCCUCCGGGGCGACCCUGCCUUCGGCCGGGGGCUCCGUGUGGACACUUCAAACUCUUGCGUAACUUUGCAGUCUGAGUAAACUUAAUUAAUAAAUUAAAACUUUCAACAACGGAUCUCUUGGUUCUG
rnacentral:misc_RNA from 1 species